rnacentral:rRNA from 1 species
AUUGAACGCUGGCGGCAAGCCUUACACAUGCAAGUCGAACGGUAACGCGGGGCAACCUGGCGACGAGUGGCGAACGGGUGAGUAAUGCAUCGGAACGUGCCCAGUAGUGGGGGAUAGCCCGGCGAAAGCCGGAUUAAUACCGCAUACGACCUACGGGUGAAAGCGGGGGAUCGCAAGACCUCGCGCUACCGGAGCGGCCGAUGUCAGAUUAGGUGGUUGGCGGGGUAAAGGCCCACCAAGCCUACGAUCUGUAGCUGGUCUGAGAGGACGACCAGCCACACUGGGACUGAGACACGGCCCAGACUCCUACGGGAGGCAGCAGUGGGGAAUUUUGGACAAUGGGGGCAACCCUGAUCCAGCCAUGCCGCGUGCGGGAAGAAGGCCUUCGGGUUGUAAACCGCUUUUGUCGGGGAAGAAAUCUUCCGGGCUAAUACCCUGGGGGGAUGACGGUACUCGGAGAAUAAGCACCGGCUAACUACGUGCCAGCAGCCGCAGUAACAC